UCUCAAUCAAUCCCCUCCAGCCUUCCAUUAGCAGCCGGCGGAUUCUCAUCUCAAAAACGCAAAAGGAAAAGGAAAAAAAAUGCAGCCGGCGAAGAGAAUGCCGCUGCGGUGGGGCUUAUCCCGGCGCUAUUUCUCGAUUCUUUUCUUCCAAUUCCACAAACCCGGCUGGGUCUCAGGUUGCGGGUGGCUGGCAAUGCUGGAUCUGAGGCACAAGUAGGAGGGCUGCACGCCGCCUCUGGUCCACGAGAGAGAGGUAUGGGCGGAUGCGUUUAUGGAGAUUCAGGGGCAAAUGGAAGCACUUGAGCUGUGUGUGCCUUGCCCAUUGCUGCUGCUGUUGGACCUCUACCAAUAUCACACGGUUGCAGAUGCAUCUGCUUAAGGUGAUUCUUCAAGAGACUGUAAGAUGAGAGUCUUGUCUGUCGCUUCUGAAGUGUAGCAGUAGAUUUUGAAGAACAGGUUACAGAUGGAAGGACUGCAUUCUGAAGAUGGACUGCCUGGCAAAAGGGUAACUUCUGAAGAACAGGUUGCUGAUGCUGAUGCUGUUCUCCUUCACUGGCCACUUAAAGUUUCUGAAUGCGCUGCAGCCCAUUUUGAUGGAUUUAUUCACUUCUGGAUGGUUUUAGUGUGCCCAAGCCUCUGUUGGAAGAGAAGCAGAGGAGACCAGGGCUGUCCUUUGUGCUGGAGCAGUCAAAGGCCAAUCUGUGGAGCAGUCAAAGUUGACUCCUAGCUGCCAGUCCUAUCUCCAACCCUGCUUAUAAGGCUGUCUUGGAUGCUUCUCAGGCUAAUAGUACUUCAUGGGAGUUGAUGAAGGUAAUUAUGUUGUACUCCCUCUGUAAACUAAUAUAAGAGCGUUUAGAUCACUAUUUUAGUAUUCUAAACACUCUUAUAUUAGUUUAGGGAGGGAGUAAAUUAUUGCAGCCACUGUUAUAUGCAUCAGUAUCCCAGGCUAACAUGUUCUUAGCGCAACACGAAAUGCUUCAGACAAAAGUCAGCUAUAAAAAUGAUACUGAAGAUUGAAAACCUAUCCUGUGUCUGGGUGAUUGCUCUCCUCCAAAGAGAAGCCUGCUAUUGCAGUGCAUGUUGGGUUGCCUAAAGAUAAUCACACUAGAGGAUUGCGCCACUCAUAUCUGCAUCGAGUAAUAUUUUCUCUAAUCUUAUCGGCUGAAAGAUGUAAUGUACAGCAUACUAGUAUUUCAUGAAAAAUGGAUAGAAUAUUUAUAAGAAAAAACUGAACUGGCAUUCAAGUUUAGAGCUUUUUUUAAGCACAUAAUCUUGAUACGUAAAUGGAAAAUUUCCUUGAAAAAGCUGCAAAUUUGUCAGUGCAACAAUACAGCAUAUUUCUCAACUAGUUAUUGUAUACUUUAAGAGUUCCCAAAACUAUUACAAGCGACUCCUGCGUGCUCCCAACAAAAGAAAAAAAUAAUUGAUCUUUCUCAACUUCUUCUUCUUAUUCUUCUUAUUCUUCUUAUUCUUCUUCUUCUGUGCCUUAUUCUUCUUUGCCUUUGCCUCCUCUUCUUCCUCCCACUUCUUUCUCUUCAAAACCCACAGGAUCUCGCAACAUUAAAUUUACAAUCUUCAGUGCCUCCUCCGGUGUUUCGACGCCUGUUUGCUUACGUACUUGCCUAUAUCUGCCGCCUACGUUUGCCUGGCGAAAUGGCCAUUCUUCGCCCUCAUUCCAUCUGUACAAAUAAUGGGACAAAGCUGCCCAAUUCACCACGUACUUUGACUGUUGCUCAGUAAUGUAAAUGGCCUCCUCUGCAUCCCAUCCGGCAGCAACGGCAACCCGGAUUGGAAUCAGCCGUACCGACUCGGGGAACAUUAAGGUCAGCGUCGCAUAUGCCACCUGAAGGUCUUCCAGUGGUGUGGUUGCAGGGUCAUAGUUGGAGAGGACCGAGACUGCGUCCAGUGCUGAUCUCCUACUCAGUGCAAGCUUCACUAGUUCUCUGUGACCGCCAGACCCUAGCGUUGACAGGAUCGAUUUGUACUUCUCGUCGAAGGGGAGCUCGAUUGCCGGGGGAUCAGAGUUGGCAAACAGCUCCCCCCACCCUUUCAAGUGGUACGUCUGCACCUUCUUGCUGUACCCGAGAUUGUAGAGGUCAUCGUCUGCUAUGUGCAUCGUGACUUCAUCCUCUCCUGGGCCUAGCAGCUUGAAAUUUAUCAUCCUUGCGGGCAUGGUAUGCCUCGCCGGACCCCUUCGCGGUCCGAGAAAGAAAUGUGCCUGGCUCUUACUAAACUCUAGCCUAGGCUUAUUAUCUAUACAUAUAUUCUCUAAUUUGUUGUAAGCUAUCUCGAAUGGCUCAGAUUUUAAAUCAUGUACACGCUCGAUGAACUGGGUGUCACCUACGGCUGGUGACAGCAAGAGAAGCAGACACGCCGCCGCCAAAGAGGAUGCCGGUGAGGUGAGCGGCCAUCUUCUGCUUCUCCGUGCUUGAUCGCGAAGAGGACGCCGCGCCGGUUCGUGAAGACGCCCCGCCUUUUCGUGAAGACACUGCGCCAUCUUCUGGUUCGCCAAUGAGUAACAGUUAGUGUGAACUGGGAUUGUUUUGCUUGAUUGUUGUGCAUCCGCACAGUCAUCACCCUAGAAUAUAUAUACUUGAUUGGGAGCAACCUACUUUUGAACAACUUUAUCAACAGUAAGCAUAGGAGGCAGACCUACUUGUUAACAACUACAGUAGUCAAUGUUAACUGCAGGACACAAUGGCUAUAUUUGAGCACAUUUCAUACAGGGCACUAUGGUAAUCUAGGUGUUUAGCACAUUCUAGAGAAGCAGGACACACUGGAAUGACCACUAUGUGCCAACUUUGCUUUUCGUGAUUCCUCGUAUCAUCGUACUUGAUUUAUUUAAGUGUUCAUGGUCAUUGUGUAUAGUUCAGUGAUGCCAGUGAACUGAUGAAAAGCACCUUUAAUUUUAUAUCAGGAAUCUUCAACUGGUGACUGUAGAAAUACUGAACAUGUUGAGGCAGACAAUACUGCUAAUCCAAGUAUGUUGCUGGAAGGAGCAGAUUCUCCUGCUAGGGGACUUAAUGCAAACAAUGACGACGCUGUUGAUACAGAUCAAGUCCACUUGGAGUCACCAAUUAGCCCAGCUACCUUAGCAGUGUCUACUGAAUUUGAAACUCAGACUUGCCAAUCAAGUAUGCAUGUGGAACGAAGUCCUGAAGUGCAACAUUCAACCUCAAUGCAAGAUCAACCUGCAGAAAAACGAGCAUGUAUCGUGGGUCCCGAGGCAGCAAUGCAGGAUGAGACAGCAGAGGCAGAGCGAGCAGGUACCUCUUGGGUGCCAUAUCAGCUCAGGUUUUGCCGCUUGAAAUGCAAUCAUCAUCAACCUCAAUGCGGGGUGUUCCCUUUGUGUCUGGUCUGCAGAGUGUGUCAGUCCAUCAAAGUGUAGUACCUUCACUGGAUCCACAUGCAGGAGUACAGUUAUCUGGCACUGUGACACCUCAUGCUAUGCAACUACCAGCCUCAAUGCCUGUGGAACAGAGUAGGACACCUGCCCAACAAAGCUUAGCAACUUUGGGUCAUCCACCAGCAGAAGCAGAACCAGCAGGUAUUCUGGUCACAGAGGCAGCUUUUGUUUUGCAGCCUGAAGCCCGACUGUCAACCUCAAUGCAGGAUCAACCAGCAGAAGAAGGAGCAUGUAUCUUGGGCGCCACUGCUGCUCGAGGUUCGCAGGUUGAAGUGCAACCAUCAACCUCAUUGGAUUCACAUGCCGGAGCAGAAUCAACAGAUACGUUGGGUGUGGUGACAGCUCCUGAUAUGCAAUCGGAAAUACAACCAUCAGCACUGAUGCAGGAUCGACUUGUGGCAGCAGAAGGAGCAUGUGUUCUAGGAGCUACAGUAGCCCAGGAUUUGCAGACUGAACUGGAAACAGCAACCACAGUUCAGCAUGACCCACUUGAAAGAACACGCUCUGAAGAAAGGAGACAAGCUGGUUUUGAACCAAACACAGCAGCCAGUCCUGAGCAUGAUCUACAGUCUGAAAUACGGCCAUCAGCCUCAAUGCGUGAUCGACCUGCAGGAGCAGAAGGAGCAGGUAUGGUAGGCAGUACGGCAACCCAUGAUUUGCAGCCUGAACGGCAAUUAUUAACCACAGUUCAGCAUAUCCCCAUUGGUCCUGAUUAGCCUACCCAACUCCCUCCAGUCACGCCAUUAGUGUUUAACAAUCCAAUAUUUAGUGAUGAACCGCUGAGAAAUGAGUUGGAAAAAAUAAUUCAUUGGAGCACUUUGCUUGAUAAAGGCCAUGAAGAUAAGAGAUCACAACUUCAGGCAGAGCGCAACCAAGGAAUAGAGAAGAUAAACAGGAAGUAUGACUCGUUACUUCAACAAGAAGAUUCCGCUCAUCGUCUGAAGCGGACUCAGUUGAAUGGUAUCUACCAGAAAGUUUACGUGAGCAAAUCACUAGCUGAGAAUUUCCGACGCCAGUUCACGCCAUCAGUUGCAUCUCAAGGGAGAUUGGUGAGCCAUGUAAUGGAGCAGCUACCCGAGUCUCCUUCUUCAGCGGCUCGGAUCGCAGCAUCGUCGUCGGUUAUCCCAUCACCAUCCAUCGGAGCGGCAGUGCACAGUUCAGCAGGACCCUAGGCCCGCGCUCCGUCGGUGGCUCUGCCAUCCUCAUCACGGACGGUCCAGCCAUGCAUGCCUGGCAAUCUCUCUGGAGCAACAUCACCGCCUUUUGUUCCAGCGCCUUGGCUACAUGCAAGCUACGGACCACAGUUGCGCGCCGUCCAUGUCAGAUCCUAGCAAUGGAUCCAUCGAAUUUGAUCUAUGAAUGAACACAAGUAAUUGGAGGAAAUAAUUUGGGGGAAGUAUGCUUAUGUAUAUAUAGAGUAUGUGCAAGUAGCAAAAAUAGAAUGAAUCCCACGCUACCAGUCGCAGCUGGCUAUAUAGCGGAGGGGAACAGAAAGUUACAGGUACUGCAGGUAAUAACCGAGUCGGAAAUGAAACAGCAAGUAAACUAGGUGGCUCGAUGGUGUCGACGUGGCCGGCUAGGCGCCGUUGGAUAACUGAAUCGAACAAUGCCACCUGGUAUUCCGACGCCUCGGACACAGGGCAGCUACAGGCCCGCUGGAGCAGCAGCACCUCAGGAUGUCGCCCCCACGGACCGCCAGCAGCAGCACCUCAGGAUCUGCCCACAUUUCUCUUCCUUUACCACGCCACCAAGAUAGUAAGAUGGAUCGAAUGCUUUUGGACCGGGCAAGGAAUUCUCCACAAUCCGGCCCUGGCAUUCACAUGGACCCAAGAUAUGCCACUCUUUUCUUCCUCCGAUUUCACCUUUACUACUGCAUGUCAGUAAGGCCAUUGAUUUAAUGACGAUGAUACUACAAGUGCUCAUUCUAGGCCAUCUCCUCACUCUACCCAUCGUCAUUAUUAGUUUAAUGACAGUGGUCGCAGAAAGAGGGGGAAACGAACGAAAGCCAGAUACUCCGUUGCAACCAGUGAGUCUAGUUCCGGCCACAUGGAUCCGGGCAAUGCAGAUAAGCCAGAUUCAAAUAGCCCGCGAAAUAGCCGCAAUAGCUGCGCUAUAGCUGCCCGGGAGCCUCGCCACUAAGCUAUGGCUGUUGCCGUGAAAACCUCAACAUAUCCCUCUAAAUGGCAGAAAAAUCAGCAAAAACCUCUAGAAAUCAUCUCUCCCACCAGAAUUUUUUUUGC